rnacentral:rRNA from 1 species
GACGAACGCUGGCGGCGUGCUUAACACAUGCAAGUCGAACGGAAAGGCCCUGCUUUUGCGGGGUGCUCGAGUGGCGAACGGGUGAGUAACACGUGAGUAACCUGCCCUUGACUUUGGGAUAACUUCAGGAAACUGGGGCUAAUACCGGAUAGGAGCUCCUGCUGCAUGGUGGGGGUUGGAAAGUUUCGGCGGUUGGGGAUGGACUCGCGGCUUAUCAGCUUGUUGGUGGGGUAGUGGCUUACCAAGGCUUUGACGGGUAGCCGGCCUGAGAGGGUGACCGGCCACAUUGGGACUGAGAUACGGCCCAGACUCCUACGGGAGGCAGCAGUGGGGAAUAUUGCACAAUGGGCGGAAGCCUGAUGCAGCAACGCCGCGUGCGGGAUGACGGCCUUCGUGUUGUAAACCGCUUUCGCCUGUGACGAAGCGUGAGUGACGGUAAUGGGUAAAGAAGCACCGGCUAACUACGUG